rnacentral:hammerhead_ribozyme from 1 species
AUCCAGCUGACAGGUGCCAAAUAGGACGAAACGCCUGUCCUGGAU